rnacentral:rRNA from 1 species
CCUACGGGAGGCUGCAGUGAGGAAUAUUGGUCAAUGGGCGGGAGCCUGAACCAGCCAAGUCGCGUGAGGGAAGACGGUCCUAUGGAUUGUAAACCUCUUUAGGCGGGGAGCAAUGCCGGGCACGUGUGCCCGGAGGGAGAGUACCCGCAGAAUAAGCAUCGGCUAACUCCGUGCCAGCAGCCGCGGUAAUACGGAGGAUGCGAGCGUUAUCCGGAUUGAUUGGGUUUAAAGGGUGCGUAGGCGGAUUUUUAAGUCAGCGGUAAAAUGUCCGGGCUCAACCCGGGCCGGCCGUUGAAACUGGGGAUCUUGAGUGGGCGAGAAGUAUGCGGAAUGCGUGGUGUAGCGGUGAAAUGCAUAGAUAUCACGCAGAACUCCGAUUGCGAAGGCAGCAUACCGGCGCCCGACUGACGCUGAGGCACGAAAGCGUGGGGAUCGAACAGGAUUAGAUACCCCUGUAGUC